rnacentral:rRNA from 1 species
GACGAACCAUGCGAACAUUGUUCGGAAUCACUGGGCUUAAAGGGCGCGUAGGCGGGCCUGAAAGUCAGGGGUGAAAGCCCCCAGCUCAACUGGGGAAGUGCCUCUGAUACUGCGGGCCUCGAGCGAGGUAGGGGCGUGCGGAACUUCCGGUGGAGCGGUGAAAUGCGUAGAUAUCGGAAGGAACACCGGUGGCGAAAGCGGCGCGCUGGACCUCUUCUGACGCUGAGGCGCGAAAGCCAGGGGAGCGAACGGG